UCUUUAAUGGAGAGUUUGAUCCUGGCUCAGGACGAACGCUGGCGGCGUGCCUAAUACAUGCAAGUCG
rnacentral:rRNA from 8 species